rnacentral:lncRNA from 1 species
CAGCUGGAAGCCUGAAAUGGAACUCACGCCACUGAUUCUAUCAGAAACCAAGUUCUGGAGUCUGUAAUGUUCUUCUGAUCAUUUUCACUGAUGGAUGAUCCUUCACAACAAGAUUUGGGAGAUUUAUGCAGUUAUGAUGAGAACCAGUAUAAACUUUCAAGGUGCUUCUUUUCUAAGGAACUCUAAAACUACUUGCCAUUUUGAUGAAGACUCAGUCCUGUGGGUGCAAGUCCAUGAAUCUCUCUGGUAGAGUUUGUGUUGAGAGCACAUGCCUGGAUGGACAGAACUCCCUCUUCAAAGAAAAGACUUUGAAAGCAAGAAUGAAGUUGGACAACUCUUCAAAUGGUUUCAGAAUUAGCCCUGGAAUAAGAUGAUAGAGAUCGUACAACUGGGUCUUACUGUUAAAUGCUGGUUGGUACAUGUAUGCAAUAAAGUUAAGGUCUUCUUGGCA